CCCAGCCAACGACCCGCACCUGCACCUCAUCAGCCACCUCGUCAGUCUGCCACACCUGCCACUAGUCAACCUCAUCUCUGCCUGUAUUUCAACCCCGGUCCUCCACACCAUUCUUGCUUGAUCGUCGUUGCUCCAUACCUGGUUCACUCACCUCCGGACCUCUCCUCUUCGGGCUUCCCCCACGGCAUCCUCCCUUCCUUGGCCCCAGUGUUGCCCGGCUCCCUGGUUCCCAUCCCGUCGGCUUCCCUGUGCCACUGUUUCCCCGGCAUCCUCCUUUCCCUGCACUCCAGUCCCUCAACCCCCCUUUUUCCUAAAUAAACCUCCUUCGCUCAGA